rnacentral:rRNA from 1 species
AUGAACGCUAGCUACAGGCUUAACACAUGCAAGUCGAGGGGCAGCAUUUUAGUUUGCUUGCAAACUGAAGAUGGCGACCGGCGCACGGGUGAGUAACACGUAUCCAACCUGCCGAUAACUCCGGGAUAGCCUUUCGAAAGAAAGAUUAAUACCGGAUAGCAUACGAAUAUCGCAUGAUAUUUUUAUUAAAGAAUUUCGGUUAUCGAUGGGGAUGCGUUCCAUUAGUUUGUUGGCGGGGUAACGGCCCACCAAGACUACGAUGGAUAGGGGUUCUGAGAGGAAGGUCCCCCACAUUGGAACUGAGACACGGUCCAAACUCCUACGGGAGGCAGCAGUGAGGAAUAUUGGUCAAUGGGAGAGAGCCUGAACCAGCCAAGUAGCGUGAAGGAUGAAGGCUCUAUGGGUCGUAAACUUCUUUUAUAUGGGAAUAAAGUUUUCCACGUGUGGAAUUUUGUAUGUACCAUAUGAAUAAGGAUCGGCUAACUCCGUGCCAGCAGCCGCGGUAAUACGGAGGAUCCGAGCGUUAUCCGGAUUUAUUGGGUUUAAAGGGAGCGUAGGUGGAUUGUUAAGUCAGUUGUGAAAGUUUGCGGCUAAACCGUAAAAUUGCAGUUGAAACUGGCAGUCUUGAGUACAGUAGAGGUGGGCGGAAUUCGUGGUGUAGCGGUGAAAUGCUUAGAUAUCACGAAGAACUCCGAUUGCGAAGGCAGCUCACUAGACUGUCACUGACACUGAUGCUCGAAAGUGUGGGUAUCAAACAGGAUUAGAUACCCUGGUAGUCCACACAGUAAACGAUGAAUACUCGCUGUUUGCGAUAUACAGUAAGCGGCCAAGCGAAAGCAUUAAGUAUUCCACCUGGGGAGUACGCCGGCAACGGUGAAACUCAAAGGAAUUGACGGGGGCCCGCACAAGCGGAGGAACAUGUGGUUUAAUUCGAUGAUACGCGAGGAACCUUACCCGGGCUUAAAUUGCAACAGAAUAUAUUGGAAACAGUAUAGCCGUAAGGCUGUUGUGAAGGUGCUGCAUGGUUGUCGUCAGCUCGUGCCGUGAGGUGUCGGCUUAAGUGCCAUAACGAGCGCAACCCUUAUCUUUAGUUACUAACAGGUUAUGCUGAGGACUCUAGAGAGACUGCCGUCGUAAGAUGUGAGGAAGGUGGGGAUGACGUCAAAUCAGCACGGCCCUUACGUCCGGGGCUACACACGUGUUACAAUGGGGGGUACAGAAGGCGGCUACCUGGUGACAGGAUGCUAAUCCCAAAAACCUCUCUCAGUUCGGAUCGAAGUCUGCAACCCGACUUCGUGAAGCUGGAUUCGCUAGUAAUCGCGCAUCAGCCAUGGCGCGGUGAAUACGUUCCCGGGCCUUGUACACACCGCCCGUCAAGCCAUGAAAGCCGGGGGUACCUGAAGUACGUAACCGCAAGGAGCGUCCUAGGGUAAAACUGGUAAUAAG